GACGAACGCUGGCGGCGUGCUUAACACAUGCAAGUCGAGCGGAAAGGCCCUUUCGGGGGUACUCGAGCGGCGAACGGGUGAGUAACACGUGAGUAAUCUGCCCUGUGCUUUGGGAUAGCCACCAGAAACGGUGAUUAAUACCGGAUACGACCAACCUACGCAUGUGGUGUUGGUGGAAAGUUUUUCGGCGCAGGAUGUGCUCGCGGCCUAUCAGCUUGUUGGUGGGGUAAUGGCCUACCAAGGCUUCGACGGGUAGCCGGCCUGAGAGGGUGACCGGCCACACCGGGACUGAGACACGGCCCAGACUCCUACGGGAGGCAGCAGUGGGGAAUAUUGGACAAUGGGCGGAAGCCUGAUCCAGCAACGCCGCGUGAGGGAUGACGGCCUUCGGGUUGUAAACCUCUUUCAGCACCGACGAAGCGAGAGUGACGGUAGGUGCAGAAGAAGGACCGGCCAACUACGUGCCAGCCGCCGCGGUAAGAC
rnacentral:rRNA from 1 species